CUUUAACCCAGCACCCUGGGCUAAGCCUCGGGUGGAUUUCUAGCAGACACUGACAUUUUCCACUGCUUUCCCAGGCAACUCCUCACAUAAGAGAUUUGGAUUUGUACAGAGAAGAAGAAAAACUAAAAGGAACUGGUAACAGACCGGGAAGGAUCUUUUAUUCUGUCUAGAAAAUCUACAUUCGAGACUUAAGAAGGGAAAGCAGCAGACACACUGCUUGGGCUUGUGUGCCAUCUGGCUUGACCCUGAUCCCUGACAACGGGAUGGCCACUGAGUGUGAAAAGUCAGACCGCUGUGAUCUACUUCAGCUUAAAAACUGCGCCUGAUUGAAGACAGCACAAGGAACAGUACAGGAGAGAGACCAAGCACACACGUGAACGUCACAUUCAUUUGUUCUGCAGUUCCAGAAACACGCUGAGAAGAAUGAAUCCCAGCAGUCCACGGUGUGAAGAAAAGAAAUGUGGAUAGUUGCUUGCGUGAGCUGGUGUCAUUCAGGAUGAACCAUAUGAGCAAGACAGCCCUUUGCGCACUAGAGCGUGAGAACAUACUACCAGUAAAAGAAAUCACACCCUGCUCCCCCAUGAAUACCUCUCUGGUUUCUAGCCUCAGUUCUCAAUGAAGAGGGGCACCGAGAGAACGGCCUGGUGGGAGCGAGCCUGUUAGCUGUGCCCAACUCACCGCAGCAUCAGAAACCGUUCACAGACACUCAGCCACUCCACUGGAAAGAAACAGAGUGAACACAAGUAGCCUUGAGCUUUGCCCUAGUUGCGAUUGAAGCCAGUUCACUUUCAGGUACCGCUGGACAAAACAGAACCGCGCUUCUCGUUCUCUGCCUCCGCUACAGUAAGAAAUAGAGGAAUGUCUAUGUCCUGUUAUCACCAGGAGCAACAGGUUAAUGGCCUGCAGACGCUUGGUUGCACUGAGUAAACCUACUAACACACAGAUAAGUCAACACACCCAUCUUCAAGCUGGGGAAGCUCUACUGCAUUCAAGAGAUGCUGCCAUGCAGAAAUUCAGCUGCAAAAGAAACGGGAAAAAAUACUCAGUGAUGUCAUUUGAACAUGCAAUGCUAAAUGGCCAAGCACAGAAGGAGUCUAUUUGCUCCUCUUUCUCCUCCCUCAAGAUUAUUAAGCUCGUGGCAUCAACAGGGGAUGAAGUCCCAAGCACAGAAAUGCAGGAGCAUCCUUUCUUUGUGCGCAGGAGCACUACCACAAAGCAGCCAUCACCACAUAAGAGCCACCACAGCACAUAGCAGAUCCAGCGCUGCACCUCCCAGCCCAGGAUCAGGACCUUCAGACAACAGCUGCACCAGGACCCCAAACUCCAGCACUUCAUCAGUUCCAUUCCUCCAAGAGAGAACCUGCCACACACCUUCAGACCUGUAAAGAAAGCACAUCACCCUCAAACAAGGGGAUUUUGCCCAGUCCCAGCCAUAAACACCAUCUCAGGGUUGAAGGAUGCAGCUCACCUCACUCCAGCCCUGAACCUGCAGGAAGACCUGUGAACCACACAGAAGGCAGCCCUCUGCUAGCAGGGGACCCACUGGUGGGUCCCCAUCUCUCACCUCCUUCAUCCCAGCACUGGAAAAAAGCAGCUCACGUAUUCCAGCCAAUCCUCCCUGCAGCCUUCACCCUGCAACAAGAACACAGAGACAUACAAGAUGGAAACACCACACAUCACCCACAAAACCAUCCUGAGGCAACUGGAACAGGCCCCAGAAAAGGGGACUCCGCAACCUCUCCAGGCAGCCUAUUCCAUCCCUCUCACAGUGAAAUCAUUCUCCUGUUUGCAUACAACUUUCUAGUGUUACAGUCCACAAACACUGCCCCCAUACUACCACACACCACCUGUCCCCAUCAAUUGGGCUCCUGCACAUCAGAUAUUCACUAACAGUCACAGUAUUCCCAUCCUCUGCCCUUCUCUCAUCCCACUGGAGAAUCCAGACAACAUACAAAACCCCCAUUAGGCCCAGCACCACUUCCCAUCAGUGAAUUCACCUUGACCGCUCCUUAGACAUUUCUUCUCUUCCAGUUGCUUGGAGAUGACAUCCAGAAGCAGUUGUUACAUUGCCAUUCCAGGAAGGGAGGUGAGGCUAACCAACCUACAGUUGCACAGCUGUAUGACAAACAGGUAUACAGGUAUUGGACCACAGAGAAUAACACAUUACAAAGGAGAAAUGAAAUAAAGAUCUUACCCAUGUCCUGGGCUUACAGAAGGGCUCCAAGAGGAUCUCCAGCCAGAGAUCCUUCCUCCUUGGGAGUCAGCCCUUAAAUGGCAUCUAGGAGGGAUGGAGCCAGGCUCCACCUCUUCCCCUCACUCAGGUGAAAUUGCAUUCACCUGUGCCCCUGCAGCUGACUCGGCACUCUCCUCAGGUGGAGGAAUCAAAGGUUCAGGCUGUGAUUCAACAGUUCCCAUACACACAGGCCAUCCUCCUCACCCUUUCCGAAGGCUGAGGUGACAUCAGCUAUCCUCCAGUCUUUGGGCACCUUUCCUAUAGGAAAGAACAGAGGAAACGUGACAGAGAGCUAUGUGGCAGUCACUUCUGCCAGCUCUCUCAGCACACACAGGCAUAUCCCUUUCCAGCUCAGGCAUUUGUGCUGGCACCCACUUUGCCUAAAUGACCUUUGACCAGCUCCUCCACAAUCAAGAGGAAGUCAUCCUUCCUCUAAAACUAUUUCCUCCAGAAUCCAGGGAUCCCAAGGAGCAGACUCAGCAGCGACCACUGAAACCAAAAAUACAUUCAGCACAUACUCUAUUACCAGGGCCUCCACCUUGUAAAGCAGAGGCCCGCUCUAGUCUCCUUUCUCCCAUUGACCAACUUCUAUUAGCCUUGACCUCCCUUCCCAAAGGUGAUACUGAGAGGGUCAUCGUCUUCCUUAGCCCAAGUCUUCCUUUUCCCCUUCAAGUUCAUCUUGAGUUCCUCAUUCAACCCUGCAGGUCUCCUGCCAGUAGAGAUACCACCCACAGUGAUGUCACCCACAUUUACCUGCCUCUUGAGCCUCACAUGCAAGCGCUCCGCUAGUUCUUCAUUCACCCCGAGGCAGAGCUCGAUACAUUUCCAUUCUCUCACUGGAAGAGAGACUCCACCACCUGGCCGGUCUGUCUUUCCUAAAAGGAACAAAGCCAUCCACAACAGCAUUCCGGUCAUGCAAGCUGCCCCACCAGGUCUCCACGGUAGGCACAAAACCGUGCUCCUGAAGUCCCACGUGAAGGAAGGGGGAGAAAAAAAGAAAACAAGUGUUCCCAUCCUGCUCGCUCCCACCGCUGGAAACGGGGGGGCUGGAGCACCAGUAGAACCCUCCUCGGGGGCUGAGGCCGCCCCGGGGCCGCGCUCGGUCUCGAGCCGUCGGGCAGCGGCCUCGUGCCGGCUCUUCUCUAAAAGGCCACGCGGGAGCCCAGAAGCGGCGCCGUGCCGAUCCCGAAGGUGCAGAGGUAGCCGAGCAACAGCCCUACAUAAACCCCGAGAAGAGAGAUCUUACCAGCUGACUCCCCAACGCUCACCGCUUCCACGAGCUCACCGCUUUGGAGCGAGGAGAGGCUCUGCCGGAACACUCGCUCAGCCUGCAAUAGGAGAAAACUUGGGUUUCAGCAGCCCUUCGCGUCGCUUUUUAUUACUCCCAGCAGCACCGAGGCUGCAAGAGUACGGCCCCAUCCCACCUGCUCCUACCGAUGAGAGCCUGAAGAACCGAAGCACCCGCUACAAACAACCCUAGGAAGAGGGAGGCUCAGAGCACCCCGGGGCUGCGGUAGGACUUAAGGACCUGAGCGGCAGCUCCCUCCGAAAACGCGAUGGGAGCCGGGCGGCGACGCUGUAUCGACAGCAAACAGCCGGGGAAGCCCGGCGGCAGCCCUACGCCGGCCCCGGGAAGAGCGGGGUCCGGGAGCCCGGCAGCCUCCCGCUCCAGCCGAAGAGAUCCUCGCGGCUCCCGAGCCCUCGCCGCCUGCACGGUCCCGUUACUACCAAAACGGCUCACACCGGUUUGGGCGGAUCCUUACCGCGAGAGGUCUCACAGCAGCCUGAAACAAAACGACACAACGAGAACAUUAAAGAGACCCCCCCAAAGCUCCAUUUUAAAAGCAGCCCCUGGUACCGCUUCCCAGCUCCAGCAGCGCUAAGAGCGGUCAAAGGAACCGGAGCCCCCUCCGUCUCUCGGGGAGAACCGCAAGAACUCCCCCGUGGCUCCCGGCAGCCUCCGGAGGAGCUUAAGAGGCUUUGGGGCGGGCCCCGCCCGGGGCUCCCGACGAGGCGCAGCUGUGCCCGGCCGGCCGCGGCACCUGGAAGUCGUUGCCUCGUUAGCGCAGCCGGCCUCGUUAGGGCCGUCCUGGGGCCCUGACAGUUAGGCACGUGGCCUCUAGAUCUGAAUUAGGGACUUAAGUGACACUUCAAAUUACAGGUUGUGACGCGCUUCUCCUUCUCACCUCGUGGUGGGAUUCAUUAAUAAGUUAGAUAAUUAAUAUCUUAACACGUUAGAGUGUCCCUGCAAAGCAAGCACGCUAAAGGUCUUUUUUCUGCUCUCUGAAAACAGAGGUGGAGAUUUCAGUAAGGGCUGUUCACAGCAGUAAUAGGGAGAUUGAUCUGGGUGCUUUUUGCGUUAUCUGUGUGCUUUUUGCUUUUCCAGCAGCAGGGAGAUGAAGGUGGGGUUUCACUGCAGAAUGUUUUUCAGCCUGUUUUCAGUACAUUCGUUACUCUCUAACUAUUUGACUUUCAUAAUCACCUGAGAACUAGGCUGUAGCCUGUCCUUUCCCAGGGGGUCACCUGGCCAAGGCUGAAGGUCAGUCCGUGAUCAUAGCACGACGAGGUCUUUCAGCAAAUGAUGAAAACAUUCCACUCUUAUUCGUUCCCAUUUUAAUCUGGAACAAUUCGUCUGAGUUCCAGAGAAGUUCUGCAGUGUGGCAGAGCAAAGAGUACUUUCUCCGUACAGAGAUUUUCUUGACACGUUACCUGCCGGGGUUUGUCACGGCUCGACCUGAGAUCCCACUCAUUUCCACUAGGCAGACUGAGGAAUGAGACUGUUACCUUUGCAGGCUUGCUGAUGCUUUGCUCUCCUCCCGCGAGUGGGGGAAUCACGGCGUAGCUGUAAACACGUGAAGCAUUUCAUGCUAACGGCUACGUGGCACACUUCUGUGCAUUUUCAGGAGCUGAGCAGCAGUGCAGAGCUGCUAACGUUCACUGAGGGAUUGUAAAAAGUGUUUGACAGUGCUUUUUUAGCCACAGCAGGGACUGAACGAGCUGCAUGGCUUCCCUGUCGUUUGCAAGGUGGAGCCCUGGAGAAGCGCUGCUGCAGGACUAGAUGUGAUUGCUGUACUGCUUGUGGCGUCUGGGAGGGUGUGCUUCUGAGACCCUGUCAGUUAAGGACCUCCAAGCCUCUCCACGGCAAUCCGCACUCCCUAAUAGGAGCUGCUGCACAUCUUGGCAUGGAUGACAACAAAGUUCUCCCUCGCCUG
ensembl:lncRNA